rnacentral:rRNA from 1 species
UACGUAGGGUGCAGGCGUUAAUCGGAAUUACUGGGCGUAAAGCGUGCGCAGGCGGUUUGCUAAGACAGGUGUGAAAUCCCCGGGCUUAACCUGGGAACUGCGCUUGUAACUGGCAAGCUAGAGUGUGGCAGAGGGGGGUGGAAUUCCACGUGUAGCAGUGAAAUGCGUAGAGAUGUGGAGGAACACCGAUGGCGAAGGCGGCCACCUGGGAAGGUACUGACGCUGAGACGCGAAAGCGUGGGGAGCAAACAGG